rnacentral:rRNA from 1 species
GACGAACGCUGGCGGCGUGCUUAACACAUGCAAGUCGAACGAUGAAGCCGGAGCUUGCUCUGGUGAAUUAGUGGCGAACGGGUGAGUAACACGUGAGUAACCUGCCCUUGACUCUGGGAUAACUGCGGGAAACUGUAGCUAAUACCGGAUACGACCCUCGGAGGCAUCUCCUGGGGGUGGAAAGAAUUUCGGUCAAGGAUGGACUCGCGGCCUAUCAGCUAGUUGGUGAGGUAAAGGCUCACCAAGGCGACGACGGGUAGCCGGCUUGGGAGGGUGACCGGCCACACUGGUACUGAGACACGGCCCAGACUCCUACGGGAGGCAGCAGUGGGGAAUAUUGCACCAUGGGCGCAAGCCUGAUGCAGCAACGCCGCGUGAGGGAUGACGGCCUUCGGGUUGUAAACCUCUUUUAGCAGGGAAGAAGCGAAAGUGACGGUACCUGCAGAAAAAGCACCGGCUAACUACGUGCCAGCCGCCGCCGUAA